CUCUCGUCUUUAGCUUGAUUUUUUUUUAAUUUUGUGGUUUUACAGUUAUAUUUGCUCUCCAUCCCAAAUAAACAUGUGCGUGCGGCUAAAAACAGCUGCGUAAAAUCACUAUUUCGUUAAAAGGGGAUUCCCAGACACUGACACACGAAUGUGCACCCUGCAAUAAGAUCCGAAAACUUAUUUCUUGCGACAGAAAAAGCAAAAAUUAUACUAAAACGUAAAAAGUUGCUGAUAUUUCAAGGUAUCUAAACAUAGCUCCUUCUACAGAGAGAACUAUUUGCCAACAAGAUCAUCGAUUCCAAUGGAAAAGCAUUACAAGUUGUGGGGCAAUUUAUGGAAAAAGGGGCAAGAGAAUUUGGCAAUUGAAGGGUCUGAUAAGUUCUUCUAAAGUCGGAAAAAAAUAUUAAAGAAAUGAUAAACGAUUGUAUUACUCAACGUCAGGAUUUUCAGCUAAUUGACUUUACUCCGAUUGUUUGUGGUAAAUUGAUCAAAUUAGUUAGGGCCACCUCUCAAAAUGAAAUUACCAAAAAUAAUGUCUCCCAUAAUAUUUGAAAAUCGGCUUACAAUUGCGAAUGAAGAAUAAAGAUGUCAAAUUAUAAGGAACUCAAAGACGGAAAAUGUUAAAGAGUUAUCUCAAAUCAUGUGAAAAUAAUGGAAUUGAUUGAGCAGGAAAUUGAAUUUGUUUUAACAAAUUAUCCAGCACUAAAGUUACGAAAAAAAAAGGAUUAUUCAGGAGAGCCACAAGUCGACAUGGGUGGAUCUAGCACUGUGAAAUGGGGGAAAUUUUGCUUUUAAGAAUUUUCCAAAUCUUCUUUAUAUGUUCCAAAAAUCGAAUUCUUGGUGGGCUUAUUGCAGUUCCCCCGCUGGGAUCCGCCUAUGAACACAACAAACUUUGGGCGCAAUUUAAAAACAAGGCUAUAAAUUAUCGACAAUUGAGCACUUAUCAUUAGUUAGUUAUAUAAAUGUACUUAUAAUGAAAAAGAGAUAACUUUUUAUUUGAA